rnacentral:lncRNA from 1 species
CAUUGCCAGUCAACGGUCACCACGCAAAAAGUCUAAAAACACAAAUUUUUUUGUCCAAAGUAAUUAUCUUUCCCUUGUAGCUUUAAAAAAAUUCCACAUCUCCCCACUGCUACCUUUGGUCUCACAGUACAAUGACAAGGAGGGAGAGGAUUGGUUAAAACAGCCCUGUCAGCUGUUUGCUCUUCUUUUUGUCCCACUCAGUAAUUUGCAGCUUUAGAGCACUAUGGAGAUAAGAGACAUAAGAGCACUCCAUGCUUUGGGAGUUUUGAUAACCAAACCCAACACUUCCUCACCAUAGAUCUCAAGCUGCAAAAGACAUUGAGUGAUAUACAGUACUUUACUGCGAGAUCCUUAGAAGUGCUACCUGCCAGCCUCAUCACCUCUGCAGUGAGCUAUUCCAGAAAUGGGUAGUAUACACACAGCAGCAGUAGCACUCACCUGCCUAUUGUGGUUGGAAUCUUCAGAUCUGUAGAGGAGCUCCAAUCUUUGCCUUCACCUUGGAUGUUAUCUCCUGGCUUGUGGGGCAGACUCUUCAGCCUUCCAAUACAGACUCUUCAGCCUCCAGCAUCAACAUGUUAGCCUUCCAGCACAGACCCUUCAGGCUUCCAUUACAGAUGCUUUGGCCUCCUGAUAUGAACUCAAUGAGACACUGCAGUGACCUCCAGGCCUUUGACUGGGUCCUUCAGAUCUCCAAUGUGUAGACAGACCUUUGCACUCUUCCACACCUGAUGCUGUGGGUGGCUAUUGUAAGCCAAUCUUGUAAAUUCUUAUGUAUUUGUAUAUCUCAUAUUAUAUCUGUUUCUCUAGUAAACACUGACUGAAACAGACAUGAAAUUUGGAGAAAAGCCCUCCAUUAUGACUGUUUCCUGGUUGGGCCUGCCACUGGCUGCACUUCCCACAAUGCUUCCAGUUCUCCUCUGAAUGAGGAAUAUUAAGGGCAUCUAGAGAUGCACCUUCAGCUCAGUGAAGUUUCAUCACUGGAAUCCCCCUGCCAACAAUGUCUCCAGGCUGCUUUCUGAGAGAUGGGCAUUGGCCACUAGCUGUGGAUACUUGGGGGAGGCACAGUUGCCCUUCAAGUAGCCUGGUUCUGGACAUUCCUCCUGAGAAAUUUUUAAAGAAUCCUCUGUAGGGACCACUGGCUGGAUUACCCUGG